UUCACAACAAUAUCUUUCAAAUAAAAAAAUCAAAUAGUUGUUUAAUGCUAUAUCAAUGCUCUGGACAUUGUAUAGAGAACCUUUAAGAAAUGUACUUAGUUACAUUCCACCACUGGCCAUGGCCAGAACUUUUAACAACUCACUUCGGUUAAGGUAUGAUUUGUUCCACAUCUCUCCACCCAGUUGAGCCUAUGACCCGACAUCUUUGACAACUUGUGGACAACAAAAACACCCAAAACACCACUUUGUGAGCCAAGUGCAGGAACAUACCUGUAGCUGCUCAUAUUUCAUCCCUGUGACAAUAUCCAAGGUCUCUACUUAGCCCAGACCUGGAAUCUACAAGAUAAAACAUGGAGCAGACAGCAGUGUUUUAAGAGGAACUAUUGAGAUACACAGAAUGGGCAUAGCAGAGACAGCCGAGCUCUGAGCCGGUGGUGUUUUUCCAAGCUGCAGAAAUGAAAACGAGAUGGAGAGAGGUGUAACAGUGGGAUCGAGGGAGGACAGGUGCUGUUAGUCAUGUAAUUAUAAAUCUAUAAACAGUACCAGCGCAAUUAUAAGCUGAGUAAUCAUUAUACAAGUUGCUGCUGAGGCCAAGAAUGACAUUUUAAUGUGAGAGCUGCCAGUGUGAUGACAUUAGGUUACGAAACACAGUCCAUGGUCUGGGAACAAAGAUUUGCUGCUGUUAAUGGCAACUUAUUUUAUUGGACCAGCGAAUCCAUGGAUACAGACCUACCUUAUUAUUUAACAUGAACUUUACGAGCUCGUCCAGCAGGAAAUUAAGCAAAAGAAAUACAGCAAUACAGUACACAAUGGUCCCAUUUUCUCAGCAGGCAUUUUGGUAUGUCACAGCAGAAAACCACAGGUGUAAUUAAUAACUUUAACAAUAGCUGGCUGGCAAGGCUUACAGGGACAUUCAAUAAAAAUGGAACCAUUAUUAUUGUUAUUAUUAUAAUUAUUUGCACCUGUGCUUUUCAGCUUAAGCAACACCAGAAGCACACAUGUAGCACUAGCGCCUUGUAAAAAAACAUCAAAAUAAAAUGUUAGUAUGCUAAUCACUACUCUAGGCUAGGACCAGCCACAUCAUUUUAGCUAAUGUGCUAGUUUACAUAUAUGUAGUAUAUAAUGUAAAUAGUGUAUAAACAUAAAUUGAAUUAGAUCGACACCAUUGUCACUGAUACCCGACCCAGCUAUUUAAGUCAGUAUCAACCCGAUAUCCGAUCCAGUAUCGGUAUCGGUGCAUCCUGAGGAGCAGUGGGCUGCAUGGGAGCAACUUGGGGUUCAGUGUCUCGCUCAAGGACACUUCAACACGCAGACAGUAGGAGCCGGGGAUCGAACCGCACCUUGCGGCUAAAGGACGACCCCCUCAACCCACUGAGCUACAGCCGCCCCCAGUAUAGUAUAUCACAGCAGCCACAGCCAAAUCCAGGGCCGUAA